AUGCAAGUCGAACGAUGAACCUCACUUGUGGGGGGAUUAGUGGCGAACGGGUGAGUAACACGUGAGUAACCUGCCCUUGACUCUGGGAUAAGCCUGGGAAACCGGGUCUAAUACUGGAUACGACCUUCCCGCGCAUGCGGUGUUGGUGGAAAGCUUUUGUGGUUUUGGAUGGACUCGCGGCCUAUCAGCUUGUUGGUGGGGUAAUGGCCUACCAAGGCGACGACGGGUAGCCGGCCUGAGAGGGUGACCGGCCACACUGGGACUGAGACACGGCCCAGACUCCUACGGGAGGCAGCAGUGGGGAAUAUUGCACAAUGGGCGCAAGCCUGAUGCAGCGACGCCGCGUGAGGGAUGAAGGCCUUCGGGUUGUAAACCUCUUUCAGUAGGGAAGAAGCUGAUUCCUUUUGGGGUUGGUGACGGUACCUGCAGAAGAAGCGCCGGCUAACUACGUGCCAGCAGCCGCGGUAAUACGUAGGGCGCAAGCGUUAUCCGGAAUUAUUGGGCGUAAAGAGCUCGUAGGCGGUUUGUCGCGUCUGCCGUGAAAGUNCGGGGCUUNACUCCGGAUCUGCGUGGGUACNGGCAACUAAAGUGCANUAGGGGAACUGGAAUUCCUGGUGUACGGUGAAAUGCCCAAAUUCAGGAGGAACACCAUGGCGAAGGC
rnacentral:rRNA from 1 species